AUGCAGCCAGUUUUUUAAUAAAGGGGGGGGGGGGGAGCUAUUAACCCACUCUGCUAGGGUUUCAUUUAGCUCAUAGUCGUCGAACCACCUUCAUGCUUGGUGGCUGACGGCGCACGAAUAGCGACCGGAUCUUGUCGCUGGAGGCCACAACUAUAGAGAUCUAGUAAGUUUUCUCUUUCUCUUUUUCUUAUUUUAGAAAAAAAGGCUUCAAAUCCUACACUAUUCUUUAAAAAAAACAAGCAAAAUUCAAAGAAUGAAAAAGAACUUAACAUCGUUCGACCCUCGUCCACAUCUCCCUGCUUUUGAGAUAUUUGGACUCUCAUCGACGUCCAUUCAGGUAUUAUUUUCUCAUUUUUUUAUUCUAAAAUCGCAAAACAAAUCAAAGGAAACAAAAAUAAAUAGAUAAACAGAUUUUGAAAUCACCUUUUAAUUUCUUGUUCCCUUUUUUUUAGUAUUUCAAUCUCUGUGUGUAAAAAAACAUUGUCUUGGUUUCGGGUUUUUAUAUCCGAAAAAUAAUACAUCUUAAUUUUUCAUUUUCUUUGCGCGUUCCUUCUGUUCUGUCUUCAUUUUCCUUUUGUUCUGCUGGCUUUCUUCUUUUUGUGUGUUUGCAGGUCUAUGGAGGAGGUCAACGGGGCAGAGGCUUCCUUUUUGGUGCAAAGGACGGGUAGAGCCGUCCCUCGAGCGAUGUUUGCACUGAGAACGCACAUGGCUGGCAGAAGGAAGGCGCGGCGCUAGGGUUUCGGUUGGCUGAACUUGGUUUAGGCAUCGGUCCUAUCGGGCUUAGGUCUUUCUUUUAAUUUUGGGCCUAUUAGGUUGUAAUUUUGGCUGAGUUUAAUUGGGUUUGAUGUUUGGGUUGAUGUAAUGGGUUUGGAUUGGCCUUUUAAUGGGCUUAUUAUUUGGUUUAUUUAUGGCUUAGUCGGCCGGGCAAAAUUUGGGUUGUACACAUGUUAUUAAUUGAAUUGUUGUAUAUAUAUGACUUGUAUUAUAAGUUUUGAUAUGUAAGUGGACUAACCUAUUGGUUGUAUUUGUUGAUAUGCAUAUGAUACUACAAAGUAUACCAAUGGAUGCCAUAUUGAAUGCCAAUGUGUUUAAAUGUUUAGUUUAUUGUAAUGUCAAGGUAAGCUAAGUAAAUUUCAUAUAAGCUUAUUAAGCAUUAAAUAUGCUUACCCCCGUUAUUUUCCCUUUCCUUGUAGUUGGUCAACUUGCGAAACAUGUCAAACGGAUCAAUGAGAAUCUCACACUAUCUCAUUAUUUAUUCAGUAGUUUUUCAAUCAUUUGAAAGUCCGAUUUUGUGGCAUAUUCAUAGGUGUUUGUAUAUGUUAACUUGAAAUGAUAGUUUUAGUUUGAAACUUUAUUAACGUUUAAUUUUGGUAAGGUUAAUGCUUAUUUGUAUAUAUAUGUUUUGGUGAUAUGUUGAGAUAUGUUGUGGCAAAUUGAAAUGGCAUAAAUGGGAUAUAAUUUGAUAUAGGUAAUGGUUUGGCAUUUUUCAAAUGGUUUAGUUUGAAUGUCAUGGUAUUGGAAUGAUAUGUUUAAUGGUUGAAUAGGUUGUAUAAUUUGAUGCAGAAAUGAUUGAGAUUAUUGUACAUGUUUUGGUAUGUAUUGGAAGUGUUUUGGUGCAGGUGAGGUUAACCAAUUAUGCACAAAAUGAAAGGAUUGUGUGGUAAUCAUGAAAUAGGUACCAAAUGGCUUAAAUUUUACCAAACAUAGAGUCUACGUCCCGACGAGCAAUCUUCCCCGUCACAACGUCGACUGACAAUGAGUCAUGUCGCGAUGUCGAGUGGCUUAAGGUCACGACAUGAAAAACUAUUUGGUGAAGUCACGAUGUGGAAGAAGUGAUGUCAGACGUCAACCCUGGAAUUUUGAAACUUUAUAGUUUGGUCCUAUUUCAUGCUCGGGUCAACAAAAGAGCUUUCUUAAGUUCAAUCAAGGCUCGAAUUUAAUUGUGUAUCACAAUAUGAAUAUAUUUAUGACAUGAUUGUAUGUUUGAAUAAUUUAUUUACAGUGUAUUUGACGGUAGUUGUUUCGGCAAUAGAUGUAACAUCUUAUAGCUUGGACCCAACGAUCGGGUCAGGCAAGAGGUGUUAUAAUAAAUCCAUAAACGGAUUCAUGAUCUAUUCUUCUUGGGUCCAGUCUGAUGUCCUAUCAGUCCAAUCAAUUACAUCUAUGUCUCUAUCUUCUGGGAGUCAUCCGCUCCGAUGCCCAAGACAAGAUAUUUCCCCAAUUGGACUUGAUAGAUGACAUAUUAGUCUUUUAAUCAGUUUGCUCAUUUUCGAUUAGACUAAAGACAUGUUUAGGUCCAUCUACUAAUAUAAGUUGUCUUUUCGUAUUACGAUCCGACCACGUAAUAUCACUUCGUAUUAGUUUAAAUAUUAGACAACCAGUGAGUCAAUAUUUGCUUUUAUUUUGCUUUGAAUGCAAAAAUCACAUGAGGACAUUAUACAAAGUAUAUUAAUGUAAUUCAUGAAUUAUUUUAUUAACCAAUUUAUUCGAAAAAAUUACAAGUAUUCAUAGACGAAAAUACUACAUUUAGGGCAUCAAAUCUAACAUGUUACACUAUCAGCAAAUGAUCUUCAGCUAUGUUUUAUUCUAUCCUUAAUGAUGUUGGUCAAAUUUGGAGAGGAAGAGGAGAAAGGAUCGGUUUUCAUCCUCUCAUACCUUAUAUCUUUUUACUUGGAGACCAAGAUGGUUGUUUCACUUGGAUAUGAAAUAAGUUAUGGUAUAAUUAUUGAAGAUAUUUCAAGAGAUAAGUUCAGUCUUUUACUAAGAGUUUUAAGCUUAAUGUAAAUGUGCUUAAAACAUCUAGUGUUAGCCUAUAAAAGGUUGUUGGUUGUCACACAUGUUGGUGUACUAGUGGGUGUGCUUUUGGUUAGUUAUUUGUGUGUGCUUUACUUGGUGUUUUUUUCACUAUUGUAUUAGGAAUUUUUUUGGAGAAUUAUUUUGAUUUGUAAAUGAGAUUUUGGGUGAAUGAAUUGUAAUAAUCGGGAUCAUUGUUGGAGCUAUAAUUACUUCCUGUGCAAGGAUAACUUGGGCUUAAGCUAAUAGGGUAGUUUGUGCAAUGAUAGUUUGGACUUAAGCCAAUAAGUGAAGCUCCGUAAAGUACGAUUAUAUAUUCAAAUUGCAUUCAUAAACAUCAUGUGUUGACUUCUCUCUUUGCUUUACCCUCCAUUUAUAAAUUACUCUUUAGCAUAAUUCUUAACUUAUUAAUAUCGUAUAAUUUUUUGUGCAAAUAUUAUAUAAAAUUUAAAAUAUUAAAUAUUUAUAUAUUAAAUAUAUUAUAUGUCGAUAGAGUUUUAAUUAGAUUAACAUGAAUAUUAUUAUAAAUAUAAAAAAAUGGUAGCUUUGAAUACUUUAAAAUAUAUUAUUCUUUCAUUUAUGAAUUGAAGAAAGAUUUAUCAUAUUUUAAAAAAUUUAUUUUUUAUAUAAUGCAUAAAAUUAAGAAUUACCCAUAAUCAUGUAGAGGCAUAGACGAUAAACUUUGUUCGGUGCACUGACAUGAAUGCGAAUCCCUAAUUUUUCUUAUUUUGGUUCUUAGAGAAAACAAGAAGAAAAUCUUAUUUUGCACUUGAGAGUUUGUACUUUGGACAAAGAUUCAUGAAAAUGAAAUAAGAAAUCCUUAAACUACCCAAGGAAACAUAAAAAUAGCUUCCUUCCUUUUCUCUGUCAUGUCAAAAGAAAUUUUCAGAUUCUCUCAGAAAAAAAAAACCAUAUUUUUGCAUAGAAUUUUGAGCCAAUUUGCUUCCAAUUGAUGAAUAGAACAAAAGCUACAUUUGCUUUAAACGAUUCCUCUCUUGAUAAACCCAUCAACACUUCUUCCUCUUAUCAUUAUUUUCAGCUCCAAAAAACAUUUCCACUAAUCUCCCUUGUUUAGGUAAUAAUUGAUUCUCUCUCUUUCUUUAAUUUCAUUUGCUUAUUGGCUUUUGUUUCAGUUCACCUUUUUAAUGUUCUCUUCUUCUUCCUUAUCUUCUUAGUUAUUAUUAUUAUUUAUUGGAUUUCGUAUAAUGUAAGCGGUACCCACUUUAUAUUUUGGCUUCAAUUUUAUGAAUUCAUCGUGUAUAUUGUUUAAGAAAAAUCUAUGCUGCCUGGUUUUGUCUUACAAGACAGGAAAUAAAAUUUUAAUGCUUCUAGGCAGCUGCUAAGUGUUGUAAUAGAUUGAAUUGUUAGCCUUUAAUUUCUGAUAAAUAUUCCAUUUCAUAUUUUAUUGAUAUUUUGAAUGAAAUUUAUGCUACAUUUUAGAUAAUUCAAUCCCAAUGAUUUGUUAACUUCAAAAACCAUGGCAAACUGAUAUGUUUACCAACCCAUCAUAUGAAUUGGAUCGCACGAUCCAAUCACAUAUCGUAUGCGAUCCUAUUGAUAAAUCGUUAGCAUCCCAAAAGACAAAUGCUUGCGCUUGGUUCAGAGGUUUCUAGUGUGCUUUAGAUUCUAUUUGCUUGCUGUAGGAACUAGCUGCUUUGCUAAGUUUGGUACUCGACUCACCAUAAUGAAGGAAACUAUCUAUUUUCAGUUCAUUUCUGUUCAUCUUUGCGACUGCCUUUAAGCAGGAUAAGGCAUAAAUAGAUACGCAGAAACAUGGGCACUCCUGCCGAGUCAAAGAGAAGAGUGGCAUUCGUGUUGAUCGAUGGAUUGGGGGAUGUAUCAAUACCGAAGUUUGGGUGUAAGACUCCUCUGCAGGCUGCAAAUGUUCCAAACUUGGAUGCCAUAGCAUUAGCUGGAGUUAGUGGCCUCAUGGAUCCUGUGGAAGUAGGUUUGGGUUGUGGGAGUGACACUGCUCACCUUUCGCUGUUGGGCUAUGACCCCAGAGUAUAUUACCGAGGACGUGGUGCAUUUGAGUCCAUGGGGGCUGGAUUGGCGAUGUCACCUGGAGAUAUUGCAUUCAAGGUGUCUAACCUGUUCUACCUCGCCUUUUAUUUGUUUAUUUUUACUCUCCUGCAUUUCUUGGUCGAUUGUUUUGUCGAUAUUGUUUCUGUUUUGGACCAUUCACUAAGCAUCCCUUAAUGGGGUAAUAUUAUGAACUAUGAUACUUCUCAAAUGCUGAUAAUUUGAUUUUUUGAUUCAAGAAUUUCAACUUAUUAGUUAAGUUUAAUGUGGUCAUUAGCUUUUAUAUGAAUGAAGGAAUUUUUGUCAUUGGCUGUAUUUUAUUUUCACAUUUAAUAUAAAAAACAUACACUUAUACUUGUUGCAUGAGAUGAUUUUAUAUGAUCUUUUACUUGAAAACCUUACAUCUUUAAUCUCCAUUCCCCAGAAAAUAAUUAAACUUAGUCCCUUUUCUCCUAACAGGUAUAAUCUAGCUUCUGACUUUAAUCACUGAUUCUUUUGAGCAUUUUCUUUAAUAUUUUUACCAAGUUUUCUUUUGGCAAUGAAUUUUACCAACAAGUUAACAUGUAAUAGUUCUGUAUAUUUUCUUUAAAGAACAUUAUUUGUGUUCUUAUACAUGAUUACCCAUUCCAUUUUUCUAUCUCCAGUCAAAUUUUGCAACUUUGGAUGAGAAAACUGGCAUAGUUACGAGUAGGAGAGCUGACAGGCAUUUUGAAGAAGAGGGGCCUAUCCUUUGUGGUGCCCUGGAUAGAAUGAAGCUUCCAUCUUUUCCUGAGUAUGAAGUCAGAGUCAGGUACAUUGUGUUUCUUUGCUGUAAUUUUGAGUUUCUUAGUUCUGCACGAUAUGUAGAUUAGUUGACAAUGUUUCAUUUUUACAGGGCCAUUUUAGUUAUUGAAGUUCCUAUGAUUGACAAUUUUGAACCUAGGAAAUGUCUUAGCAGAAAUGGUUGUGGUGGUUAGCCUAGAUGGAUAUGAGAAUGUUUUGUUCGAUGUGAACUUUGUUAAGGAUUCAAUUGAGACUUUAAGCUUCUAUUGUGAACCAUUUAAUGCUAAGUCAUCAUAAUCAACCUCAUACAGGUAUGCAACAGAACACCGAUGCGGAGUUGUUGUUAAAGGGCCAAGACUCAGUGGAAAUAUAUCAGGAACUGACCCAUUGAAGGACAACCGCUUACUUCUGGAAGCCAAAGCUUUAGAUGACACAGAUGAAGCAAGACACACGGCUGCAGUUGUUAAUGAGUUAUCCUGGGAGAUUUCGAGGAUACUGGUGUCUCACCCGUUGAAUGCAAAAAGAUUAGCAGAAGGGAAGAACAUUGCUAACAUUGUCCUUCUAAGAGGCUGUGGUAUUCGAAUCGAGGUAUUUUAUUUUGUCCUAGAAUUUUCCCUAAUGUAUAUGCAUUUGACUUCUUUGAAUGUGGAGAAAAACACGUGCACCGAAAAAAAAGAACAUUUUGCGUUUUGCAUUUUUCUAAUUGGUUUCUUGUUCUUCUAUAAUAAGAUAACCGAGAAAUGGCUCUAUCUCUUCUAAUUAUGUAGGUUCCUCCAUUUCAAAAGAAACAUGACUUGUGGCCUUGCAUGGUGGCACCCACAAAAAUUAUUGCAGGAUUGGGCCUAUCACUUGAUAUCAAUAUCCUAGAAGCUCCUGGUGCAACUGGGGACUAUCGAACACUUAUAACUUCAAAAGCAACUGCCAUAGCUAAGGCGCUUUCUGCUCCUUUACAGACUUGUCCUAAUGUCUUUGUUCCAGGGGAGGAUGAGCACAAGCCUGGCAGAUCAGAUGGCUAUGAUUUUGGAUUUCUCCAUAUCAAGGUAAUGACCAUAUAUGAACUCAUCAUUUGUCGCCAUUUUUCGUGACUCCUAAACUUAACAGAUACUUGUAAAUAGCUACCUUUUGGGCUAGAACCACUGUUAUUUUCCCCUUCUCUUUCCUUGAGUUUUCAUCCUGUUUAAUCCCACAUAAGAUAAUCUUGUUUUGGAGUUUGCUGAUCAUUUAUGUCGAACAUAUCCUAAUUUAUCAAUCCUGGGUUUGAGAAUCUUUUCUUGCCCGUGGAAAAAAAUAUCUCCGAAGUGGCAGGGCAUGAGGAUAUAAUUGUAUCGUGAAAAUUGUUUGACAUUCAGAAUAUCUUAUCACAGAGAUUGAUUUAUAUAUUCCAUUUUGGCUUUGUAUGCAUUUCCCCUCCUUGUUACGGACACUAACAAGGUCUAAUGUUUAUGGAGUUCUGAAAUAUAUGGACAUGGUUAUCCAUGUUUAAGCAAUGUGAUUUACUUGAUAUUUCUAAAUUGCAGGCAAUAGAUGAUGCAGGUCAUGAUAAGGCAACUGUUUUCAAAGUAAAAGGAUUAGAAGCUGUAGAUCAAGCUAUAGGGCAGCUGGCUAAGCUCAUGUGGCAGGCUGAGUCAACCGGAAACUUUCAAUAUUUUAUUUGCGUCACUGGUGACCACUCUACACCUGUUGAAUAUGGAGAUCACAGUUUUGAGCCAGUUCCAUUUGCAAUAUGCCGGUUGAAAGAUUUUGUGGGUGCCAUUGGUGGGGAGUCUGUUAUUUUGGAACCUUCUCUUGAUCCUUUUCCUCUUCCAACCGUUAAGGCGGGUGAAGACCUAAAUGAAGACAUUACUUUAGGAAAAGGGAGAAAUUGCAAGCAAGUUGAAUCAUUGUCUGGUGAUUCAGUUUUCGAGUUUAACGAGAUUGCUGCAGCGAGGGGUGCUCUUGGACGGUUUCCCGGUGGAGAGAUGAUGGGAAUUAUAAAGAGAUUUCUUAAAUUAAGUGCUUGACUAUCAUUAGCUCUCAGUAUCUGUAUCAGGUACUUCUAAUCCUAAAUAGACUGCUGUUAUCCAAUGAUAACCAUUGUUCUUCUUUUGUAAGCAAAAUAAAGAUUGCAUCUUAACAGUGGCACACAUUUUUUGAAUAAAGCAGUUCCUAUUUCUUGUUCACUUUGAAUAAGUCGUUCAUCAUUCUUAGAGAUAGCAGCUAGGCAAGACUCAUGAGACUCUUCUCUUUUGUAAAGGAAAACCAUUGGUGAUCCUCUAGAAUCAAAGGGAAAACUCCGAAGAAUAUUGAAGAAUAUGCACGCUGAAUGUGUUGAUUCAUAAGAAUUUCCCAUUUGUUUUAAAUAUUUCGUUUCUUUAUAUAAUAAAGUGUCAUGUAAACAAUCAUGAUAAAGUAAAAAAAAAAAAAAAAAAAAAAAGAGCAGGUACUAAAGCAAGCACUAUUCUUCCUACUAGUAAGUUGCAUAUGUGUAAAUACAUCAGCAAAAGCAAGUAAACAAAGCAAAGUUUAAAGCAAAAUGUUGUUUUGCCUUAUCUUUCAACACUUCAAAUCUAAUUUAUAUAUUAUCGUAAACUAGUCUCUGAGUUAUACUUCUUUUAAACGGUUUAUCACUUAAAAAGUUUCACAAUUAUUUGCUCAUUUUUUUAUUCAAUCAAUUGAAUUAGUUGAUUAGUUCAAUGCUCAACUUUUUUUUCGGCAAAUCAUUAAAAAAGGUAUAAUUGGAGGAUAAUUUACACAUUAAACCUUAGUCAUAUACGUGUGCUUAUUUUUUUAAAAGUAGUGGUCGUCAUUUAUCACACUUUUCUUUUUUUUCUUUUUUGCUGCUUUUCAUUAGCUUACAAGGCCCAUGUGCUCCUCGUUAUGUAAAACAAUCAAAUAAUCCAAUUUCUACUAGAAACCAACUUUUUUUAAAGCUUAAUCAAUAAGAAAAAAACAAUCAUAAAAAGGGAUCCUCCUCCAAUACCUCACCAUUUCAAAAAACCAAAGGGAGAAAGAGAGAGGAAGUGUGUGUUAGUCAGUGGCAGUAGUGAUGUAUGUGACAAGGCCCCUUUCUUUAUACAGGAAAUCGCCAAAUGCCCUUGAAGAUGAACCACCUGCAGAAGGCCCUUAUUCAGGUUAUUUAGUGAUUACAGAUGAAGAGGCUGAGGAACAAGACACCUUCUGUUUCGGGGCUAUUAAGAGGAAGGCUGUUGAAAAGCUGCCUUUCCCACAAGACAAGAUAUUGAAUGUUGUUCAUUCAUCGGAGGUUGAGGAAACUAUGGUCACUAGGGUCUGGUUUAUUCCUGUUCUUGAUCAGCCUCUUGCUUCUAAUCACUACUAUGUUAUUCGAGCCAAAGGCAGAUAGAAAGGGUAAGGCUAUAUAUAUACUAAUCAACAAUAUAUAUAAUCUGUAUUAGAAAUUGUGUUUAUGUUGUCAACUUGCAGGCUAGCAUGUACAAGUUCAAGGGAAAUAGAUACCAAACUAUGUUGUUUCUUCAAUAAUGGUGUAAGUGAUGCAAAACCAGAACCAUUUGAUCACCGAAACGUAUAUCAACAGUUCAAGAUCCAUCGUCACCAUGGGCACAGUUUCUUUGCUAAAUCCACCGCUACAGAUUCAGUCCCACCAAAAUUCUUAAGGAGAAAUGGAUGGGAACUUCGUAUCUCACGCUCAUACAGGUUACAACUAAACCAAGCACUAGGCCUCGACUCAUCUCUCCGAAAACGCCUCCCCAGUUUCGAUUUCCCCAUGUACAACAAGAAGUCACCUUCAGUUGCCAUCGGACAAUGGUACUGUCCCUUCAUAUUUAUAAGGGAAGAGUCGAGACUAAGGCGACAAAUGAAGAAAUCACUGUUCUACACGAUGACACUGGAGCAAUGGUGGCAGCAGAUUCAUUCAUGCGACCAAGUGAACGAUGAACAAACUGAGGUGAAGAUGAGUAAAAUCGUGAAAAGGGAAUUCAUUUCUGUGAAUGGUAUGCUUGGUGAGAGAGAAGACACGGUUGGGCAAGGAGGGUUUUGGUGGUUCAAAACUUUACCGAGAAACGAUGGCCGAAAGAGCAGCAGUGUUGGGUUGAGUUUAGCUAUAAUGGAGAAAAUGAAAUGGUUACAAGAGGAAGGAGGAUGGUAUAAAGGAGAUGAAAGUGAAGUGAGGGUUGAAAGAGAAGAAGAAACAAGAAGUGAAGAAAGUGGUGGGUGGAGGAGAUAUGCUUGUUAUAUGCUGGUGGAGAGCUUUCAUUUGAGAAGAAUGGAUGGGAGUUUGGUGCUAAGAAGUGAUUUUAGGCAUACUCAAAAGAUUCGAUCUAAAUGGGAAUGAAUGCUGUUGAUAUGUUAUCAGUUAAUGAAGCUUUAAUCUACGGCUUAAUUGGGUUCAUCUUCUUGUAUGUCUUUAAGUAUUACAUGCUGGCUCUAAGAGCUGGGGGAUACUGGAAGCAGUUGUAAUUAUCUAUCUAUGUUAUCCCCCCAAGAAUUCAUACUACUCCAUGAAUAUUUUGAAAGCAAAAAAUAUUAUGGUUUUGCCAUUUCAGAUUUAUUUUCCCUAUUUUAAUUUACCACGGUUUAAUUUUUUAAUAACAUUUUAAAAACAAUUUCUUUUGUCUCGCCAAGAUGAAAUGAGUUUUUUUUUUAAUGUUAAUAUAGAGUUUUUCUUAUAAAAAAAAAUUUAUAUAUAACAUUUUAAUUUGAAUACGAGAGAAUAUGAACAUUUAAACUAACUAAUAAGAGUAUAUAAAGUUUAAUUAAAAUUGACUUAACCGGUGAAGGUGAGUUAAUUCGAUUCAUUAAUUUACUAAUGAAAUUAGUUCAAUCGAAGUAAUCAUUAAAAGAUUUUUGAAAUUUUAAUUAUAGUUUAAAAGUUAAUAUUUAACCAAAUUUAUUACUUCACCCAAGUGAUUAAUAAUAAAUAUUAUAUGUAUUAUAUAUAAGAAGCAUAAAUUCAAAUUAUAUAACAUAAAAUAUUAAAACUUUAAAUAAAAUGUAAAAUAGGUAAGAAUUAACAAAAAUAAAACUUAAAAACCCUAACACUAUCAUUUUAGUUGGGUUAAAUAAAAAUUUAUUAACUUAAUCAAAUUUAAUUUAGUUUAGUUUAGUUUUAAUUAUUUUUGCAAAAAAAAAUUAUUCGAAUGGUAGUGUGGUUGAGUUAUUUAUUUGAACACCCUACUAACUAAUGGCAUUAAGUAAAGGAAUCAAAUUAUACCAAUAAAUAGGGGUGUUCAAACUUUGGUUAAAAUUAAAUUAACCGACCGAAUCGAUCUAAUUCAGUUAAUCGGUCGGUUAACCGAUCUAGUUCAAUUGGAGGUCGGUUAAAGUUUUUUAAAAUUUCGAUUAGUGGUUAAUUCGGUUCAAAAUCAGGUACUUAAUCGAAUAUAUUGAACUUAAUAAAUAAUAUUAUAUAUUAUAUGUAUUAGGCUAUUACUAGUUCUGUUAAUUCGAUCAAAUGAACAUUAUCAAUUUUUUUAUAUAUUUUAUACUUCUUUUAACCAAAAAAACAAAUAAAACAUAUAAAUUUCGAUUAAUUCGGUUAACUGACCAAAUUAACCAAAAUAUUUCGAUUCGAUUAAUUUUUGUUAAAAAAAAUUGGUUCGGUUAAAAGUUAAAGGAUUAAAAAUUCGAUUAAUUCAGUUAAUACUAGUUUGGUUCGAUUAACCGUUUAAACACCCCUACCAACAAGUGCAAUAGUAAGGCACAUUGCACUCUCAAGUAAAGGACUUAGAUUUUAACAUUAUAUGCAACAUUGUUGGAAUGGCAACUAUAAACCUUAAAAGGAUUAAUUUUUGUGGACCGUAAAAUAGGAUACCUUGGUGUAAUAAGUUGAUGUAUAUUAGAUUUUGUCAUACUCAAAAUAAAAAUAUGAUUAUAUUAGCAUUUAUUCUUGAUUUAAAAAAAAUAAUUUUUAAAUAAUUUAUUUAAUUGAGUUAAUGUCAAGUUAACUUAUGAUAUUCAAAAUAGAUAGACAACUAUUCUUUAAACAUAGAAAUUGUUCGUAGAAGCGGUAUGGGGAGCUUCAAGUUUCAAUUACAGACCAGAACGAAGGUUUUGUUGGGAUAUAGAGAUUGGUAAUAUCUGAACUGUGUAUAAAUUUUAAAUCAAUUUACUUUAAAUGGAAUAUUUUUUAGACAAGAAAUGUGGAAUGAUUAUAAUAAUUAUUUUGCUUUAUUUAAUUUAUUAUAUUAAAUUAUUAUUUUAUCUUUAUAUAUAUUAUAUACAUAUAUAUAUUUUUGUUUUUGAUGAAAUAAAAUUGAAAGAAAUCAACUACAUGAAACAACUAUUGUUUUUAUCCUUCUUUAACAAAUCAAUAACCUCAUUGGGAGCUUCAUUGAAAACAUGAAGACUGGAUUUCCAAUUUAGAUCGAGUUUAACAAGAUGGUCUGCCACUAAAUUUUGAACUCGUGGAAUAUGACUGACUCUCCACUUUCCUUCCGUCUUCAUGAUACGUUAGGUCCUUCUAAGAAUAGUAAUCUCGGAUUCCUCCAAAUCCAAAUCGGACAAGGUUUUAACGACUUCAAAGUUAUCAGAUAAUAUCAAAAUUCGUCUAUAACCUUUAUUAAGUAAGAUGAGAAUCCCAUCAAGAAUGCCCCAAACUUCAGCUUCAAAUGGAGAGCAGACUCCUAAAAAAAUGAGAGAACCUCACAAUCCAAUUUCCUUCCUUAUCUCUAGCCACGCCUCCAGAAGCAGCAUAUCCUGAAUUUCUGGCCACAGCUCCAUCAGUGUGAAGAGAGACCCACGAAUCAUUUGAAAAAGUGACCAAUUUUGAGCUAAAGGAACUCCUUUCUGUAGAACCCAUACGUAAUCCGUAUUGGCGAGCCCAACAACUCGAUUUCCAAACCACCUCAGUUGCUGACCAGGAAAGAUUUUGAAAAAUGAAUAGAUUUUUAUUCUUCCAAACACGCCACACCACUACUCCGAAUAAGCAUGGCCAGGAAAGUCCACUAUCCUGUAAUCUUUCAUGAAAAGACAGGUUAAGUGAAAACCAAUAAGGAAAUGGGGAAGAAAAGAACCUUUGUUUAAGUUGUUCCGGAAGAAUAAGCAUCCACACGUUUUUUGCAAAGGAACAAUCUCGAAAGACGUGGGCUAAACCUUCAGUCGUAUGACCACAUAAAGCGCACGAGCUACAAGCACUCAAUCCCCUUCUAACACUCUCUGAGUUAAUGAGGAGUCUCUGUUGGACAGCCAGCCAAAGAAAGACUCUAACUCUUUGUGGACCCGGUAAAUUCCAAAUAGCCUUCCAUUGCUCAUCAAGGGUCUUCCAAGUAGAUUCUUUUAAGGUCCAAUAAGCGCUACGAACAGAAAAGGCUCCAGAAGAUAAUUGAGCCCAAACCACUCUAUCAGGACUAGAGUCAGGAUGGGGGGAGAAAUACUAAUAAUCUUACAAACCACAUCUUCAAAUAACCAAACACGAAGCAAUUCUACGCUCCAGCUUCCAUCCAAGUUGACUAAAUCCCUAACACGGCAGUCAAGAUCAAUGUUAGAAAAGCCUGGAAUUUUAGAAAUUAAAGAACCCAUACCUAGAAUCCGUUUGUCCUUCCAGCAUCGGACAGUGGAUCCAUCACCAAGAGACCAAAUUAAUUUAUCCCGAAUAAGAGGCCACAACUUAGAAAGAGCUUUCCAUAGAUGUGAGCUUCGACUUUUGUAAAUCGAAUCUAGGAUAGAUUCUUUCCAACAGUAUUUAGAGCGAAGAACACGAACCCAAAUAGCAUUGUUCUUAGAGCCAAGACUAUAUCCAAUCUUCAUAAGAAAAGAAUUAUUCUGAUCUUCCAAAUGUCUAAAACCAAGUCCACCCCUAGAGCAAGGCUGACAAAUAGAAUCCCAACCAACCAGAGACAUUUUGGAGUGAUCAUCAGUACAACCCCAAAUAAAUUGUCUAACCAACUUUUCAAUUUCUAAGUAGACAUUUUUCGGUAUCAUCAAUGACUGCAUAAAAAAAUUUGGAAUGGAAAGAAGAAUCGAUUGCGCUAAGGUGAUCCUCCCAGCCAUAGAUAACUUUCUAGCAUCCCAACUCUAUAAUUUCUGUCUUACCUUAUCAACAAGAAAUCUAAUAGUGCAUUUGGUAACCCUCUCGUGGAAUAAAGGGACAUCAAGAUACUUCCCUAAAUUCUGAACUUCUUGAAAUCCGAAAACCUGAACAAUUUGACUACGAACCUCUCUAGAAGUAAUCUUAGAAAAAAAGAUAUUACUUUUCCUAGUGCUAAUUCUAUGUCCCGAGUAUCACAAAACUGAUGAAGAGUACACUUAAGCAUUCGGGCUUAAUCCAGCUGAGCUUUGCCGAAAAUAACAAGGUCAUCGGCGAAGAUUAAAUGAGAAACAGCUGGACUAUUUCGAGACAGUCGAAUAGGCUCCUAUUUCUCGCUUUCUAUAUUCUUACGAAUGAUAUACCCUAACCACUCCAUGCACAAAACGAACAGAUACGAUGACAAAGGGCACCCUUGAUGGACACCCCUAACUGGUUUAAACUUACGAGUAGGAACACCAUUCCAAAGGAUCUGCAUUGUAGAGGAGGAGAUGACAGACAUGAUUACUUUCCGCAAACAGAUAGGGAUUCCAGUCGCACUCAACGAAGCCUCAAUGAAUUCCCAACUAACUCUGUCAUAAGCUUUCUCCAAGUCAAGCUUAAGGGCCAUCCAAUUUCUCGCUUUCUGUUUACAUCUCAUAGAAUGAAUGAUUUCUUGUGUAAGAAUAAUGUUGUCUGAAAUGUUCCACUCGGCUAUAAAUCCAGCUUGUUCCUGGGAGAUCAACUUAGGAAAAAUCACUUUGAAUCUAUUGGCAAUCACUUUCAUUACCAACUUGUAUAACACUGAGCAAAGGCUGAUAGGCCGAAACUGACUGAAGUCUUUAGGAUUCUCUUUUUUGGGAAUUAGAACAAUCAACAUGUUAUUCAGAUCCUUCUCAAUCUGUCUUCCAGCAAAAACCUCUUUGACCAAUUGGCACACAUCACCGCCAAGUAAAUCCCAUUGACUUUGAAAAAAAAUGGCAUGGUACCCAUCACUGCCAGGCGCUUUAAGAGGAGCCAUGUCAAAUAAUGCCUUUUUGAUUUCUUCAUUAGUGACAUCAGCUUCCAAAAAAAAAACUUCUGAAUGAUUAAGUCUAGGAAAAUCAAAGUUAGGCAUACCCAUUAAGGUAGGAGUAAUCUCACCAUAGAGUCUUUUAAAAUAGUCAACCGCUUUUUUCCUGCAAGAUAACCUGAUCAGAACACCAAUCUCCUUCAUCUAAGCGUAAAGAAGAAAUGCGGUUGAAAUUCCUUCUCUUAAUCGUGCGGCUAUAAUAAAAUUUUAUGUUUCUAUCUCUCAAUUGAAGCCAGUCACAACGAACCUUCUAUCUCCAAAAUAAGUCUUCAUGAUCAAGAACAUUUUCUAACUCGUCUCGAACUUCCAAUUCCUUUUGAAAAAUGAGACUAGAUGGAGAAUGAUCAAUGGCUUUUUUAAUAUUAUUAAGAGAACGCAAAAAAGUCCGCUUACGAGAGUUCAAAAAGCCAUAUACGUUCCUGUUCCAGAUUUUGAUAUCAGAAGUGAAAUUAUUAAGAGAAUCACUCAUAUUACCAGAAUACUUCCACUUCUCUUUAACAAAAGUAGGAAAAGUGCUAUGGUACGUCCAUCCCACUAAGAAUCUGAAUGGUCUCCCUAUGGAAACGUUGAGGUUCGGAUUAGUAUGAAGUAAGAUAGGCCGAUAAUCCGACUUAAUACGAGUUAGGUGAUAAACUAAACACUGCGGGAAUGUUAACAUCCAUUAAUCAUUUAUGAGUGCUCGGUCAAGUCUAACAAAAGUGCUACCUCGUUGUCAAGUGAAAGAGGGUCCACUAAAACCUAAGUCCUGCAAAGCACAAGAGUCAAAGAAAUUACCAAAAGAUUCACAACGUUUACCAACAUUAAAAGGACUUCUUUUAUCCGAGGGGAAAGAAUAGCGUUAAAGUCUCCCAUAAUAAGCCACGGAAUAGAUUGAGAUGGGGAAACAACUCUUAAUCAUUCCAAAGAAGCUUUCUUUUUAACCUGUCAGGACUACCAUAAACAAAAGAAAUGAAAAUAGAUUUAUUGCAAAUAAAGUUAUCAACACGAAGGGAAAUAAAUUGAGGAUGACUGCAAGUAAUAUAAACUCGAACAGAGUUCUUCCAUCCUACCCAUAUACCACCUGAAAAGCCGACAGCUUCAACCCGACGAGAGAAAUUAAAACCCAAUUGAUCAAUAAUAAAAUUGACUUUAUUAGCAAUUACUCUUGGUUCAACUAGAAAAAUAAUAUUCGGACUAAAUUCUGAAUUAUAUUCAUUAAAAGCCCGAAUAAAUUUCCUGUUAGCACUGCCUUGACAAUUCCACGAGAAAACUUUAAAAUUAGGCUCCAUCGAUAUAAAAAUAAAGAUAAAAUGAAGAGCAAAUCAAGAAAAAAAUUAAAUCCAUUUAAAUAAAAUUUUAAAGGAAAAAAACCCAAAAAACAACAAACCGCCUUACUGUCUAGGGGUUGAAGACCCCUCCAUUUGUCCAUUCUUUCUAGAAAAAAUUACAUCACUACCAUUCUCCUUGGAGAUAAUAGAAAUGCUUUCAGCUAAUUGCUCCAUUGAAUUUUUUAGAGAAACAUGAAGGGACCCAUGAUUCUUGAACCGCACAUUACUGCCUUGAAGGCUCUUGUUAUGCUUGUUAAUUUUUCCUCUAAUUUUUGUCCCUUUUUCCCGAAUCAAGAAACCCCGUUGACGAUGAUGAACUGUUUGAUUGAGGCGCUUCUUGUUUAUCACAAAAGAUCACUGCCGAGUGCUUCCUCGAGUCUAGCUUUCCAACAUCAACCAGCUUCUCACUUCUGUUAGAUUCCUUUAAAGUUGGGCUAGAACGAAUUGCAGCAUUCUCCCUAUCAGUAGGGAGGGAUUAGUCUUCUCCAUUUUGUUCUAUAUCGUCCACUGCUUUAGCAAGAGCACUGUUAAAACCUCCAGAACCAUCAGCGCCCAAAUUGGACCCUUUGGUAAGAUUCUCUGCAGCCUGCAUUUUUCGAUCCAGUGGAAUUCAGGCCUGAAUUGGAGAAUUAUCUCCUAAGCCCAAACUAUUGGUAAGAUUACCUAAGCCUUGUUUUAAAUCUAUAGAAUUAAUGUGGGUCUUGACAGAAUCCAAAAGAGGGCUAUUAUUCCUCUUGAUGAAUGGGCCAACACUAUUCUUGGGCCCCAUCUCCUUACCUUUACCGUUACUAUUACUUUUAUUAACUUUAUUCUGCCCAUUAAUUCAAACUCCCGUGACUUUCCUCUAUUGAUCCUCUAUUGAAAUAUUUUUCCCUUUAGCCUUCUGGAUCUCAGACAUAUCCCUGAUUUAUGAUUCUUUUAUUAAUUUUCUAUUUUCAAAUCCACUGAGAUUGGAACUUUCCUUUUCCCUCUCAAGAUUCUCGUAUGAUUUCUGCAUCUCGAUCCUUGAUUUGCGCCUAGAUUUCCUUUCAACGAUCAUCCAAGGACUAUAGUUACCAUCUUUUUUCUCUGUAGUUUCAAUGUUCAAAUUUUGGUUUACCGGUUCUUCCACCAGUGAGCCUAUGUUCGCUUCGAUCGGAGCUUCGGCAACUUUGAAAUUGCAUAUACUUUCCACAUGCCCAUACCUUCCACAAUGAAAGCAGAUUGUAGAGAGGGAUUCAUAGUCAACUCUUUGUUCACGUUCAUUGAUUAAGAUUUGUGACACUAAUGGUUUUUCUAAAUUAACAUACACUGCUAAUCUAGCAAAUCUUCCUCUUGUUCUACUAUCAGUGUUUAUGUCAAGCUUGACCAUUUUCCCUACAAGAUUACCGAUCUCAAUAAUAAUUUUGUGGUUGUAUAGAUAACUUGGUAAAGCAAGAAAUCUAAUCCAUGCCAUCACUACACUUGGGAACGUCUGAGAAGGAUCGAAAGCCAUUGUUCAAGGCUGGACAGUCAAAUAUUGACCAAAGAUUGUCCACGUGCCUUCCGAGAGAGCCUUCUCACAGUCGAAAUUGUUUUGAAAAUUUGACUAAAAAGUAGCUAUUCUCAAUGUCCAUCAUAUGAAAAGGAGCUGAAGGUUUCUAUAUAGAAUAGAUUUUAUUCUGCAAAACUGAGAAACCAAUAUUGCGACCAAGAAGUUUUAAGAUCACAGUAUUGCUCAUGAUCUAAAUAAGGAUCUGUUGAAUUCGAUCCGAAAAAUUGAUGGAAGGUACUCUGUUCACCAUAGUUUUCUGAAUAUCACCUUCCAAAAUAUCUAUAUUCUCCUUAUCGUUUGCUUCUUCAAAGCCACCCUUCGACUAUUCACCGACUAGCAUAUCUCUCCAUGAAGUAUAUUGAUCAGAGGACAAUUCUAUCACCAUAUCAUUGCUCUUUUCUACCUCUUUGUCUCUGAACCUGACCUUCUUAGGGCUCGUCUCUUCCACAGAUGAAUUUCCAGGAACAGCAGAAUCACCGAGAGAAUUCAUAGCUCCAAAAAAAAACUGAUUAUGUAAGUCUUUUUACUUUUCCUUUUUUUUUCUUUUCAAUUUUGUAUUUUAUCUUUAUAUAUUAUAAAAGAGUAAAAUAUAUAAAAGAAAAGGUUAAAACCUUAAAUCACUAUGUUACAUCAAUUCAAUGGUUUUUUAUUUUUAGUUUAUGGUUUCUAACUAAAAAAAAGAUUAGAGAAAUUAAUUGCGUGAAAAAAAUUACUUUCCAACGCAAAUCCCUUAUUUUACUUGGAAGUUUUGUUACAAGUAAUCACGAUUAUGUAUUAAUUGACUUUUUUAAUAAUUAUGUUUAAAGGAUUGAUAAUAUUAAAAGUAACUAAUAAAAAUUCAACAUGAGUGGCUUUUAACUCUUAAGAUUAUAUAUUUAUAUUGCAAUUGUUACAUCCCAACAAUUAAGUUAGAAGAAAUUGGGUUAGUAGAUCAAGAUAGCUUAAUGAUUAAGGGAAAAUAAGAAGAUAGUAUGAUUGGCUUAGAGACCCGAGUUUGAAUCUCUUUCCGAACAAAUAAAUUAAUUUUGCUAUUUUGCUCACUCCCCUAGUUUUGUGCCACCCAACCUAUCUAAACUCUAGGUAUAUAUGUUAUUUCUUUCAUUGUUUUUCAACCUUCCUCUAUUCUCCCUCUGCUCUUGCUGUCCAUCUCAUAUUCCUCUCCCAUUCUUCUAAUUUUUUUCUUCUUCUUUCUUCCUCUUGUGUCGUCCCAAACACAGUGAAAUUCACCAUUUUUGUGCAGCCUUUUUGUCUAUUAUUCUGCUGCCAUUUUUCUAGCCACAUUAUUUUCAUUUUUAAUCCCUAAAUCAGCCUCCCAAUGUUGACCAUUGUCACUUCCUCUCCUCCACUUGUGGUGGUACCAGUUAGUUUCCAUUUUCUUUCUCUUUUCUUUUCAUUUUCUUGCCGAUUUUUCUGUUGUUUUUAUAGCCACUUUACUGUUGUUUCCAACCCUAAAAAUCGUCCCCUUUUUUUCCCAAAGAUCUUUCUUUGUGCCACUCACGUCAGCCCCCUUUUCUGCCACCAUUUGUAGUGUUGCCACCCUUGGAACACCAUUGCUUUAGGCUGUUGUUUUCUCUUCAUUUGUUGCCCCUCACAAUAGUGUGUUCUUUGAUUUUUCUUUGUUUAAAAACAACCCUUAACGUUUGAAAUCAAUAGGGUAUCCAAACAUGUUCAUCUGCCAUCUCAAAUCUGGUUAUUGAGAUAGGGCAAGUGUGGAUCUAUGCGAGAUCUUGUGUCAUUUGAUUUCAUUAAUGGUUAUUAUUUUCGUCGAAUGCUCAAGGCCUUAGAUUGACUUUUACUUACUGAUUUUUAUAUGUUAUUUCCAACUUAGGAAUUGAUUUUAACGUCUCGGAUCAACAGAGAAAGUUGAUUUUCAUUUGCACCAUCAUUUUGCAUCAAAUCAGUGUAAGUUAGCUUGUCGAAUUGGAUUUGAGAAAAUCGUUAAUGUAGCACUGAUUUGGUUGAAUGCAUUUCAAGACUGGUUUUAACCAUAUUUUAACGUGUUAGGUGUUGUAAUUUGGAUUUAGGCACAUUUAAAGCUUAAGUGUGGACCUUACGAAUUAGUGUUAUGGACUUGCGAAUUAAGGUAUGGGUUUUUCCUUUUGCUAAAUUAGUUUAAAAACCUUAUAAUACGUGUUUAGAUAGUAAAUUUGGUUGCUAGUUUUGGCAUGUCCGAAAGGUGUAAGUGCUAGUAGAUGAGGUGUCGAGUGAGAUACGUAUUUAAAUAGAUAGUCCGAUUGUUAAAGGCCCUAUUGGGACCGAAUGAAUUGUGUAUGAGUUGUAUGUGAUGUAUAACUUUGUAUUGUAACUGAUGGAUCGUAUGUCGGUAUAUCAAGUCUCUAAUUGCUAAGUCUUGAUGAAAAUGCAUAUAUAGCAUGCUGAAUUUUGAAACAUUGAUUGAUAUGCAUGUAAUAUAUCAUGAAUGACAUUGAGCUUGUAUGUAUAUAAAUUACAUACCAUAUGUGAAAAUGACUGUAUGGAAAACAUGUAUGCAUGCCACUGUUACUAUAAAAUGAACAGCAUGCAAGGCAUACACCGAUUAUAUUAACUAAAACGCAUGUUAAGCAUGUUGUAAUACCAAAAUCAUAAUGAUAAACAUGAUAUGCUGAUUGAUUGUAUGACAUAUUGCAUCUGCAUGGGGUAGGUACUUAUGGUUGAUGGAGGAGUUCAGUGGAGUACGAACGACAUUUAAAAUCCGCAUAUUGAGUCAGUAUACUACACCUGGAGUACCGAGGAGAUUGUGCGAUUUAUUACUAACAGCUUGUCUGCACCAUUAUUGGCAGUUUACCUGCAUUACUGAUAUUGGUGGCUUGUCCAUAUUACUAGUAGCUUGUCUACACCGUUACUGGAAGUUUAAUUAUAUUACUGAUAUUGGUGGUUUAUCUACAUUGAGCUCUAGCUCGCACUGUUUGGAGUUCGAUAAACAGGUUUUGCAGAACUCGUGGUGUGUAGCGAAUGGAUGGGUAGGAAACCUUUUGCAUUGUAUCAUACACAUGACAUGCUCAUUCACUGAUUGGUUAUGCCAUGUUCGAUACUAAAACGAUGUUGAUUGUUAACUGUUAUAAUUUAUUGCAUGAUGGUUUAUUGUUGACCACACUGAGCUUUCAUAAGCUCACCCCAAUAGUUUUAAACUUUUCAGGUAACCUUCUUAACUAGGAUCAGACCUGGCAUUUGGAGCAUCAACUCGGACAUCGAACUUUUUUUAAGUUUAUUAUUUAAUUGGAGUUUUCCUUUGGUUUUGGACUGUAAUCAUUUUUAUUUAGUCUAUGGCUUGGUAAUUUUGUAUUUGGGGAUUUAUGUAACAUCCUAAAGUAGGGCCUAGAAGUUUGAGCCUAGUGAACUGUGAUCGUCAGUAAGCUUGGUGAGUUGGUAGUCGCUAGUAGGUUUGGCGAGCCGGUGUAUGGCAGUAGGUUUAGCGAGCUGAUGUACAAUAGAAGUUUUGGCAAGUUGGUGUUCGCUAGUGGAUUUGGUGAACUAUGACUGCUAGAGAGCUUGGCGAAAUAGGGAUCACCAGUGGGCCUGGUGAACUGUGAUAGUUAUUUUGGCCCAAUAGUAAAAAAGUAAGGGUAAUCAAAGGGUAAUUAUACCAAAAUUCAAAGUCAACUUACUUUUCUUUUCACAACACCAUCCAUGCAUGUAACUAUUUCCUACUUCUACUGUGACUAGGGUAUCCUAAGAACACCAAAACACUAAGUGCCUAUAAAUUAAGCCCUUUCCAUAGGAAAUCUCAUAUUCUAUUAAGCAACAAAGCUCUAUCAAAUCCUUCAUCGAUUACUCUGUUAUCAAGUUUUAAGAACCUAGAACUUAGAUCUUAGGAUCUAAGGUAAGAUUAUGUUCCUCUAUUGUGUUGAUGUUUAAGAAGAGUUUAGAACAAAGGAAACUAGGUUUGCCAAAAGACCAGCAUGUGCGAACUUAGGUUAACUUAUGUUUAUGUAUAAGUUUCUACAUGCUAUGUGUGUUAGUGACUUUUUCAUGUUUGUGAAAUGACGAACUUGACAGAACAAUCUAUAAGUAAAAACAAGGGAAAAAUGAAGCUUGUUUAAAGUUUUCAGCAAAUUGGUGAAUGUUUAGGGAUUGUCGUAUGUAUGUGCAAAUCAUAAUAUUAAUUAAUAGCUUAGAGUUUUAACCUAAGUUCAGUAAUACCCCCUACACGUAUUUAUUGUCGGAAUAGGGUACGAGGUAUUACCGGAGUUUAUAAUUUUUUUAUUUUUUUUAUAUUCAAUAUAGCCCCUUAUAAAUAUCUAACCUUCCCUGCAAUAUUAAAUCGAGACCAAUCCACAUCAACCAAACCAAUUCAACAUAUUUUCAAGAUAAAUUCAUGCAUAUUUAUAAGAUAAUGUCAUCACAUACCCAAAACCAGGUUUGUUAACCACACUAAUGGCUAACUUUACAUUCAUUUCACGUUAACAUUUACUUUAUUAGCUUAUACAUGCCAUUGAUUUCCAAAGUAAAGUUUCUUUAUAUACCGAAAUCUUGAGGUUGAUAGUGUGAUGUGUCUCCGACCAAAUCCGACCUCCGAGCUCUUAACACUACAAAACAGGGGAAAAUGAAACAGGGUAAGCACUUUGUGCUUAGUAAGCUCAUGUAACAAGAAUUAUACUUACCUAAUAUUUUCAAUACAAUACAACAAACAUUCCUAUAUCCAUUCAAUACAUUAUUACCCUAACAUGCACAAACUCAACAUUCAAGUUAGUACAAUAAUUUUCAUGUACCAAUAAUAUAUACUAUGAUUGAUGAGCUCAUCAAUACAUGAUUUCCAUUUCCUUAUAUUUUUUUUCAUAUUUAUCCCGUUGAAUUUCUUGGAAUUUUCGAUGGAUUUUCAGAGGUACACUUUUAGUGUACAUUUUCGGGUCCGUCAAUUCAUAUUCAUGUGCGCACAUUUCCAUUUCAGAGAGCACACUCCCGCGAACCUCAUCCUUACAGCGGGAUUACCAGUCCAGGCUAAAUCCCAUGUAAUAUAAACUCAUAGAGUAUUGUCGGAUUACCAGUCCAGGCUAAAUCCCCUGCAACGACAAUUACUCUAAUGAGCUUGGAUCUGAAUUACCAGUCCAGGCUAAAUUCAGACCCUAAUUCGGAUUACCUGUCCGGGCUAAAUCCAUUUUCCACAUAUUCUUCGGGAGGGCUAUAUCAGGAUAGGAUCACCCGUCCGGGCUAGAUCCUUUUUACCGUCAAUUCCUUUUCAGAGAUCCAUCGAAAUUUCCUUUCAUUCAACCGGGAUUUCUUUCCCCUUUUUAUCAAAUAUAUCAAUGUUUCAUCAAUUUUCAUACAAUGAACAUUCAAAUCAUAUUCACAUCAAUAAACAUACAUUUCAAGCAUUUAAGAAUAUAAUUCAAGUUACAUGAACUUACCUUGAUACUUGUUCGUGUACAAAAAUCUACUAAUCCUGAACUUUUUCCUUUCCUUGAUCUAGCUUCGUAUUUGAAUCUUCUGGAUCUAAAUAAAUAAAUUUAAUUAUCAAUUUAAUAUAUUUCAUGUUCAUAUGCAACAAUUUCUAUAAUUUCAUUAUUAUUAUUUAUAGUUUAUUCAAAGCUGUCUAUUUGAGUCAUAGUCAUUAAAUUAUUUAUAACUCAAGAUACGAAACUCUAAAUUAAAAUCCGUUAAUUUUCCAUGAAACUAGACUCAUAUAUAUUCUUACCAUAAAAUUUUCAGAAUUUUUGGUUUAGUCAAUAAGUACAGUUUAUUCGUUAAAGUCACCCUUGUUCUGCUGUCUGAUAGUUCUGACCCUUCUUCAUUAAAAAUUAAUUAUCUCUUCAUACAGAAUUCGGAUAAUGUUUCCGUUUGUUUUUCUUGAAAAUAGAAUCAUUCAAAAUUCUAUGCAUAUAAAUUUAAGCCCCUAAUUAUUUUUAUUCAAUUUUUAUGACUUUUCAAAGUCAGAACAGGGGAACUCGAAUUCAUUCUGACCUUGUCUCACUAAAUUCAUUAUAUCUCAUGAUUUACAGAUCCAUUGCUUACACUAUUUCUUCUAUGAGAAACUAGACUCAAUAAGCUUUAAUUUCAUAUUCUAUUCAUCUUCUAAUUCGAUUCCUACAAUUUAUGUUGAUUUUUCAAAGUUAGUCUACUGCUGUUGUCCAAUAUUAUUUUAGUGCAAGCUGUUUAUUACCAUUUUCCCCUAAGCUUUUAAUAAAUAACAAUUUUGUCCCUACUCAAUUAGCCUAUCAAUUGAGCUGAUUUUUCUCAAUUAACACUUUAUUCUAUCACCUUAAACUAGUUUACAACCUUUAGGAAUCAAAAUUUCAGCAAUAGACUUUAAUUCCAAACAUUUUUACAAUUAGGUCCUAAAAAUCAAUUUCUAUUGAAAUUACCUAAUAAAAUCAUCUCAUAAACAAAUUAAAGCUUUAAUUUCAUUCUAAUUCAUCAUAAAAUUAAAGAACUCAACCAUGGUGACUUUCAAUUUCAUCCAUGAAAUCAAAAACUAAUGAAUUUAAUAAUAGGACCAAGUUGUAAAAGUCUUAGAAACACAAAAAUUACAAGAAAAAGGCAAGGAUUAACUCACUUGGUGCAAACAUUAUGGAAUACCAGCUUAUAGAACCCUCCUAUGGCAUUUUUAGCUGCUGAAAUUGAAGAGAAAUGAAGAGAAAUCUAGAUAUUUCCUAUUUAGUCCUAGUUUUAUUUAGUUAAUUUUGCAAUAUUCCAAUUUUUCCCUUAAUUAUCAAUUUUCCUGCUGAUUUCAUGCCCUUGCAGUCCAGCCCGAAUAAAUUUUGGGUCUAAUUUCCUUUUAAAUCCUCUCUCAUUAGACACUUAAGCUAUUUAAUCAUCCUAUCCACUUUUACACAUUUUACAAUUUAGUCCUUUUCAUUUAAUUAACUAUCCAAACAUUAAAAUUUCCUAACAAAAUUUUAAUACCACAUUACUAACAUUUCAUAAAUAUUUAUAAAAUUAUUUUCAACUCAGUUUUACGAGAUAGAGGUCCCGAUACCUUAUUUUACUUUAUUUCUUCAAUAAUUUCUUUUUCUAACUAACCACUAAAUAGGUAAAAUUUUUCUAUCAAUAUUUUCAUACGAUUUUCCUAUCAUAUCAAUUUUCAUGCAAAAAUAUUGAAAUAAAUUUUUCUUUAAAUCGGAUUUAUGGUUACGAAACCACUAUUCCGAUAACCUUGAAUAUAGGCCAUUAUAACUCUCCCUCCCUUUUAGGAUUUUCGUCCUCGAAAAUCUUACCAGUAAAGAGGUUUGGGUAUUGUUUCCUCAUUGCCUCCUCCGGUUCCCAUGUCCCUUCCUCAAUCCCAUGCUUUUGCCACAAUACUUUCACCAAAUUUAUCUUUUUAUUUCUAAGCUCUUUUAUCUCUCAUGCCAAUAUCUUGACCGGUUUUUCACUGUAAGUCAUAUCCAGUUGAAUCUCCACUUUUGUUGGAGAAAUAACAUGUGAAGGAUCUGAUUGAUAUCGUCGUAACAUAGAUACAUGAAAAACAUUAUGGAUUCUAUCAAGUUCCGAUGGUAAUGCCAAUCGAUAAGCGACUGGUCCAAUUCUUUCUAUGAUCUCAUAUGGCCCGAUAAAUCUUGGACUCAGUUUACCCUUUCGACCGAAUCGAAGAACUUUCUUCCAAGGAGACAUUUUCAGGAAUACCUUGUCACCGAAUUGAAAUUCAAUCUCUUUUCGUUUAAGGUCGGCAUAUGAUUUUUGACGAUCGGAAGCUGCUUUUAGACUAUCCCAAAUAACCUUUACUUUUUCUUCUGUUUCCCAGAUCAAAUCAACCCCAUGUAUCUUCCUUUCACUGAGGUUUGUCCAAUAUAACAGUGUUCUACAUUUUCUACCAUACAAAGCUUCAUACGGAGUCAUUUUAAUACUGGACUGAUAACUAUUAUUGUAAGCAAAUACAAUCAAAGGUAGAUACCUCUCCCAAUUACCUUCAAACUCUAGUAUACAACAUCGAAGCAUGUCUUCCAAUAUUUGAAUUACACGCUCAGAUUGACCAUCUGUCUGAGGAUGAAAUGCAAUGCUAAAAUACAACUGAGUACCUAAGGCUUCUUGCAAUUUGUCCCAGAAACAAGACGUAAAUCGGGGAUCUCUAUCUGAUAUAAUAGAGACAAGUACUCCAUGUAGCCUGACAAUCUCAGAUAUGUAUAGUUCAGCUAAUUUAUCUAAAGAAUAAUCCAUACGUACAGGAAUAAAGUGCGCUGACUUUGUCAAUCGGUCAACAAUCACCCAAAUAGCAUCUUUUUUCCUCGGAGACAAAGGUAACCCCGAUACAAAAUCCAUAGUGAUUCUUUCCCAUUUCCAUUCCGGUAUAAUAAUUGGCUGAAAUAACCCCGAAGGUACCUGAUGUUCAGCUUUAACUUGCUGACAUAUUAAACACCUUGAUACAAACUCAGAGAUAUCAUGUUUCAUUCCCGACCACCAGUACAUCUUUUUCAGAUCAUUAUACAUUUUAUUAGUCCCCGGAUGUACAAACAUAGUACCGUUGUGAGCCUCGUGUAGAAUCUUCUAUAUGAGUUCUGAAUUGUGAGGUACACAUACCCUACCUCUGAAUAAUAAACAACCAUCAGAACUAAUCUGAAAUUCAGAAUCAUUACCUGACUCACACUGUGCCCGUUUAACCUGUAACUUCUCAUCAUUCUUCUGAACUUCACUUAUUUGCUAUAAAAAUGUCAGUUUAGCUCUCAAUUCAGCUAUGAUUGAACCAUCAUCAGUCAGUGACAACUGGGUAUUCAUAGCUCAUAAAACAAAUAGAGAUUUUCGGCUCAAAGCAUUAACUACAACAUUAGCUUUACCCGGAUGGUAAUCAAUAAUCAAAUCAUAAUCCUUUAUCAGUUCAAGCCACCUGCGCUGUCUCAAAUUCAAAUCUUUCUAUGUCAUCAAAUAUUUCAAGUUUUAUGAUCAGUAUAAAUAUGACAUUUCUCACCGUACAAGUAAUGCCGCCAUAUCUUCUGUGCAAAUACAGUAGCAGCUAAUUCAAGAUCAUGUACUGGGUAAUUUCUUUCAUGUGGUUUAAGUUGUCUUGAAGCAUAGGCUAUUACUUUACCUUCUUGCAUCAAGACACAACCUAAACCAUUUAAUGAGGCAUCACUGUAAAUAACAAAUUCCUUACCCGGUUCAGGCUGCACUAAUACAGGUGCUUUCGUUAGUAGAUCUUUCAAUCGGUUGAAAUUCCGCUGACAUUCAUCAGUCCAUUCGAACUUUACAUCCUUCUACAAUAAUCGAGUCAUUUGAGAAGCUAUCAUAGAGAAUCCCUGUAUAAAUCUAUGAUAAUAACCAACUAAACCCAAGAAACUUCUAACUUCAGAUACAUUCUUUGGUGGAUUCCAAUUGACAAUAACUGAGAUUUUACUUAGAUCUACCUUGAUGUCUUCGGCAGAUGUGUCCAAGAAAACCCACUUUUCAAAGCCAAAAUUCACAUUUACUGAAUUUAGCAUAUAACUGCUUCUCUCGCAGAAUUUGCAACACAAUUCUCAAAUGUUCUGCAUGUUCUUCUUCAUCCCGAGAAUAAACCAAAAUAUCAUCAAUGAAUACUACUGCAAAUCUGUCUAAGUACGGUCUGAAUAUCCAGUUCAUCAAAUCCAUGAAUACUGCAGGUGCAUUACUUAGCCCAAACGGCAUAACCAGAAACUCAUAAUGUCCGUACCUGGUUCUGAAGGCUGUUUUUGGCAUAUCUGACUCCUUUACCCGUAACUGAUAAUAACCUGAUCGAAGAUCAAUCUUUGAAAACACAGUAGCACCUUUCAGCUGAUCAAAUAAAUCAUCAAUCUGGGGUAACGGGUACUUAUUCUUUAUGGUUACUUUAUUAAGCUGCCGGUAGUCAAUACACAGUCUUAAAGACCCGUCAUUCUUUUUCACAAACAGAGUUGGAACACCCCAAGGUGAAUGACUCGGUCGGACAAAAUCCUGUCAACAAGCUCUUGCAACUGUGUCUUUAACUCCUUUAAUUCAGUAGGAGCCAUCCAGUACGGAGCUAUGGAAAUCGGAGUAGUUCCUGGAAUCAAAUCUAUGGAAAACUCCACUUCUCUUUCUGGUGGCAACCCUGGUAAUUCCUCUGGAAACACAUCAUAAAAUUCACAUACUAUUGGCACUGCCUGUAUCCUUGACUCAGAUACCUUGGUGUCGAGUACAUAAGCCAAGUAAGCAUCAUACCCUUUUUUGACAUACCUUUGUGCUGCCAUUACUGAAAUCACAUCAGAUAACCCCUCUGUCUGAUCAGAUUUAACCCGGAGCAACUCACCAUUCUGACAUUUUAGCACAAUAUAUUUUUGUCUACAAUUUACUACUGCACUAUGCUAGAUUAACCAAUCCAUGCCCAAUAUUACGUCAAAUUCAUCAAAUGGCAGUAACAUCAAAUCAGCCAGGAAACAAUAACCUCUUACCAUCAGUGGACAAUUUUUACAAAUUUUAUCCACCAAAACAGAUUAACCCAGGGGGUUCGAGACUUUAACCAUAAAUUCAGUAGGUUCAACAGAUAAAUUUUUUACAAUUGCAAGUUUAACACAUAUAUAUAUAUGAAUGCGUAGAACCAUGAUCAAUCAAUGCAGUAAUAUCAGUAUCAAGUAAAGAAAAUGUACCAGUAAUAACAUCGAGUGCUGAGGCAUCUUUUCUGGCACGAAUGGCAUAUGUCCUAGCAGGUGAUCGUGCCUCAGACCUGCCUGUAGUAUCUUUCGUAGCUCCUCGGUAACCACUGACAUUACUAGAUGGUUGAGGUGGUCUGCCCCUCGAAACUGGAUUACUUAGCUUCGAUAUCUUCUCAGCUUCUUUUUCACCUCUUUCUGGACAAUCUCUGAGGAAAUGGUCAAAAGAACCACAUCGGUAACAAGCCCCACUCUUUAAUCGACAUUCACCAAAAUGAGCUUUAUUACAAUACUGACAUCUCGGCUUAGGAGUGCCUACACUGCCAACACUGGCCACUGAUGGAGUUGAAGGUAUUGGAUUAGUGCGUUGAGAACCUCGCUCUCUAUCCGAAUACCCAAUGGCUGAGGUAGAACGAUCCUAGUAUUUUUUCAAUUUCUUUGGAGCAGAAAACUGGGAUUUUCCCAUCGGUCUUUUACUAAAAAUUCGAGCUUCCCUCUCAGCCUGUUUCUUUUCUUUGCUCAAUUCUUCUACUUUAUAAGCCCUCUCUUCCAAUGUAGCAAACUCUCAAAUUUCAAGAAUUCCAAUGUCUUCAUUCAACCCUUCUUCGAAUCGUUUGCACAUUUCAGCUUCUAACUGUAACCAUUCUCGAGCAUAUUUACUCAAUCGAACAAAUUCUUUUUCAUACUCAGAUAUUGAUCUGUUACACUAUUUCAGCUCAAGAAAUUCUUUUCUCUUCUUAUCGAGAAACCUCUGACUAAUAUAUUUCUUUCUGAACUCGGUCUGAAAGAAUUCUCAUGUAAUUUCUUCUUUCGGAACAACUGAAACUUUAGUAUCCCACCAAUGGUAAGCUGUGUCUUUUAGCAGUGAGACGGCACAUUUCAGACAUUCUUCUGGUGUACAAGAUAAUUCCUCCAAAACCCGAGUAGUGUUUUCUAACCAGAAUUCAGCCCGUUUGGAAUCAUCAUCAAUUGCUGCUCGAAAUUCUUCGGCCCCAUAUUUUUAAAUUUUAUCUACUGGAGCUUUCCCUUUUCUGACAGAUUCAAUACCUGUACCCUGUGGGAUAUCGGGAACCGGUGGAGGAGCAGGAGGGGGAGCUUGAACUUGCUGCACUACAGGGUUAGUUCUUAAGUAUUGACUAAACCAUUCAUUCAUCAUUUGAAAGAAGACUAUUUUUGCCUCCUCCCCUCGACCCUAUAUCUCGGGCCUUCUCCUGCUAGUUUCUUCUCUUUGUACUGAAGCCGGAGCAUGACUCCCAGCUUCCUCAGAUUGAGCUCGGUCGGUAGACAUUUACUAUAAGAAAAACACAUUUAAAUGGUCAGGAGAUAUCACACUAUCAAUAAUAAUUUAAAUGGCAUGUAUAACUAAUCCCGUAUUUACUAUGUCGGUCCGAGAACCGGCUAAACCGUAGCUCUGAUACCAACAAAUGUAAUACCCCCUACCCGUAUUCAUUGCCGAAAUAGGGUACGAGGUAUUACCGGAGUUUACGAUUUUUUUUAUAUUCAAUAUAACCCUUUUAUAAAUAUCUAACCUUCCCUGUAAUAUUAAAUCGAGACCAAUCCACAUCAACCAAACCAAUUCAACAUAUUUUCAAGAUAAAUUCAUGCAUAUUUAUAAGAUAACGUCAUCACAUACCCAAAACCAAGUUUGUUAACCAUACUAAUGGCUAACUUUACAUUCAUUUCAUGUUAACAUUUACUUUAUUAGCUUAUACAUGCCAUUGAUUUCCAAAAUAAAGUUUCUUUAUAUACCGAAAUCCUGAGGUUGAUAGUAUGAUGUGUCUCCGACCAAAUCCAACCUCCGAGCUCUUAACACUACAAAACAGGGGAAAAUGAAACAUGGUAAGCACUUUGUGCUUAGUAAACUCAUGUAACAAGAAUUAUACUUACCUAAUAUUUUCAAUACAAUACAACAAACAUUCCUAUAUCCAUUCAAUGCAUUAUUACCCUAACAUGCACAAACUCAACAUUCAAGUUAGUACAAUAAUUUCCAUGUACCAAUAAUAUAUACUAUGAUUGAUGAGCUCAUCAAUACAUGAUUUCCAUUUCCUUAUAUUUUUUUUCAUAUUUAUCCCAUUGAAUUUCUUGGAAUUUUCGAUGGAUUUUCAGAGGUACACUUUUAGUGUACAUUUCCAGGUCCGUCAAUUCAUAUUCAUGUGCGCACAUUUCCAUUUCAGAGAGCACACUCCCGCGAACCUCAUCCUUACAGCGGGAUUACCAGUCCAGGCUAAAUCCCAUGUAAUAUAAACUCAUAGAGUAUUGUCGGGAUUACCAGUCCAGGCUAAAUCCCCUGCAACGACAAUUACUCUAAUGAGCUUGGAUCUGAAUUACCAGUCCAGGCUAAAUUCAGACCCUAAUUCAGAUUACCUGUCCAGGCUAAAUCCAUUUUCCACAUAUUCUUCGGGAGGGCUAUAUCAGGAUAAGAUCACCCGUCCGGGCUAGAUCCUUUUUACCGUCAAUUCCUUUUUAGAGAUCCAUCGAAAUUUCCUUUCAUUCAACCGGGAUUUCUUCCCCCUUUUUAUCAAAUAUAUUAAUGUUUCAUCAAUUUUCAUACAAUGAACAUUCAAAUCAUAUUCACAUCAAUAACAUACAUUUCAAGCAUUUAAGAAUAUAAUUCAAGUUACAUGAACUUACCUUGAUACUUGUUCGUGUACAAAAAUCUACUAAUCCUGAACUUUUUCCUUUUCUCGAUCUAGCUUCGUAUUUGAUUCUUCUGGAUCUAAAUAAAUAAAUUUAAUUAUCAAUUUACUACAUUUCAUGUUCAUAUGCAACAAUUUCUAUAAUUUCAUUAUUAUUAUUUAUAGUUUAUUCAAAGCUGUCUAUUUGAGUCAUAGUCAUUAAAUUAUUUAUAACUCAAGAUACGAAACUCCAAAUUAAGAUCCGUUAAUUUUCCAUGAAACUAGAAUCAUAUAUGUUCUUACCAUAAAAUUUUCAGAAUUUUUGGUUAAGCCAAUAAGUACAGUUUAUCCGUUAAAAUCACCCUUGUUCUGCUGUCUGAUAGUUCUGACCCUUCUUCAUUAAAAAUUAAUUAUCUCUUCAUACAGAAUUCAGAUGAUGUUUCCGUUUGUUUUUCUUGAAAAUAGAAUCAUUCAAGAUUCUAUGCAUAUAAAUUUAAGCCCCUAAUUAUUUUUAUUCAAUUUUUAUGACUUUUCAAAGUCAGAACAGGGGAACUCGAAUUCAUUCUGACCUUGUCUCAUAAAAUUCAUUAUAUCUCAUGAUUUACAGAUCCAUUGCUUACGCCGUUUCUUCUAUGAGAAACUAGACUCAAUAAGCUUUAAUUUCAUAUUUUGUUCAUCUUCUAAUUCGAUUUCUACAGUUUAUGUUGAUUUUUCAAAGUUAGUCUACUGCUGCUGUCUAAUAUUAUUUUAGUGCAAGCUGUUUAUUACCAUUUUUCCCCUAAGCUUUUAAUAAAUAACAAUUUCGUCCCUACUCAAUUAGCCUCUCAAUUGAGCUGAUUUUUCUCAAUUAACACUUUAUUCUAUCUCCUUAAACUAGUUUACAACCUUUAGGAAUCAAAAUUUCAGCAAUAAACUUUAAUUCCAAACAUUUUCACAAUUAGGUCCUAAAAAUCAAUUUCUAUUGAAAUUACCUAAUAAAAUCAUCUCAUAAACAAAUUAAAGCUUUAAUUUCAUUCUAAUUCAUCAUAAACUUACAGAACUCAACCAUGGUGACUUUCAAUUUCAUCCAUGAAAUCAAAAACUAAUGAAUUUAAUAGUAGGACCUAGUUGUAAAAGUCUUAGAAACACAAAAAUUACAAGAAAAAAGCAAGGAUUAACUCACUUGGUGCAAAAAUUAUGGAAUACCAGCUUAUAGAACCCUCCUAUGGCGUUUUUAGCUGCUGGAAUUGAAGAGAAAUGAAGAGAAAUCUAGAUAUUUCCUAUUUAGUCCUAGUUUUAUUUAGUUAAUUUUGCAAUAUUCCAAUUUUUCCCUUAAUUUAUCAAUUUUCCUGUUGAUUUCAUGCCCUUGCCGUCCAGCCCAAAUAAAUUUUGGGUCUAAUUUCCUUUUAAAUCCUCUCUCAUUAGACACUUAAGCUAUUUAAUCAUCCCAUCCACUAUUACACAUUUUACAAUUUAGUUCUUUUCAUUUAAUUAACUAUCCAAACAUUAAAAUUUCCUAACGAAAUUUUAAUACCACAUUACUAACAUUUCAUAAAUAUUUAUAAAAUUAUUUUUGACUCGGUUUUAUGAGAUAGAGGUCCCGAUACCUUAUUUUACCCAAUUUUUUCAAUAAUUUCUUUUUCUAACUAACCACUAAAUCGGUAAAAUUUUUCUAUCAAUAUUUUCAUACGAUUUUCCUAUCAUAUCAAUUUUCAUGCAAAAAUAUUGAAAUAAAUUUCUCUUCAAAUCGAAUUUGUGGUUACGAAAGCACUAUUCCGAUAACCUUGAAUUUAGGCUUUUACAAAGUUCUGAGAGUAAGCUCUUUCUAAAAACUUUAUUUUUGUGU
rnacentral:lncRNA from 1 species